UCUGGCUCUGCGGAGUCCGGCUCUGCUGGGUCUGGCUCGGCGGAGGCGGGCCUGGCGGGACCGGGUUCCAAGGAGCCCGGCGCUGCCGCCGCAGCCGUUCCCCCCCCCGGCGGUGGCUCCGCGCUCCGGGCUCCCGGGGGACGCGGUGGCCCCGGCUCAGCCCGAGCGGCCGACGGCGGCUCCUCAGACCUUCCCGAGGAGGCGAUCUGUCGUGGCCCCACAGGAGAGCACCGAGCACGGGGUGAGCAGGCUGUGUGGGCAGCUCCUCAGCUAAUUGGAGUCUCCUGUCCAGAGUGGCCUCAUCUGUUUCACGUGUUCAGCUGUCUAUUUAAGCUCGCUGCAGUCCACACUCUGACGCUGGAUCGCUGAACUCCCUGAGUCACCUGGACCUCCUCUGUCUAUCCCCUUGCCUGCCACCUGCUCACCUGGCUGCCCUGGAGCUCGGUACCCCCCGGACUCGUCUCCCGGACUGUUACCCCACCAGGCUGCUUGAGUCUCAGAACCGUCCACGGCUGCUGGGAAAGCAGCACCUCGUCUCCCCGGCCUCGGACUGGAUCUGUUAAUUAAUAAACCUGAUAAACCCUGACUUCCUGUUCUGGUUUGCCUUUCUGCAUCUGAGCCUUCGUCUCACCCUCCGUGACGUUUACAAAUAUGCUUUUCUGACAAAGUUUGAUCUUCCCUGACAUUUUGGCUCAAAUAAACGGAGAAAAGACAAAGCAAUGCCUGGGGAGGACUGUUCAUGCUGUGACCUGCACACAUAGGGAAUUCCAGUAAGUUUUUCACAUCCUGACUCCAUGUGGUGCCAUUUUGCACAAUGUCUUUUUAAAAGAACUGGAGGGCUUGAAUUUCUCUUAAAGAUUAGGUUAGGUUAGAUUAGGUUAAGAUUUGUUUUCAAAGUUAAUCUUUGUGUAUUCUGCGAUGAAUCAAAUGAAUCUUUAGAACAUUUAUUUUUCCCUGUCCUCUUUCAAAAACAUUUUGGGAUGAUGUUAAAGAUUGGUUUUCUCUCAAGAUUGAUGACAUUCAGAAUUUGGACCUCACUGAUAUUUUAUAUUACAAAACGAAUCCAGACACAGCUUGAUCCACUGUUAUUAAUUAAUUCUUUUGUUGGGAAAAUAUAAUUUACAUUGUAAUAAAUUAAAGAACAAAUAACCCUCUUAUUUCAAAAGUCAGUUUGACCUUUAUUUUUUGUCUCUCAAAAGGAUGUCGGGUGCUGUUUCCAAAAAAAAUAUGCCGAGAUAUGUCAUGUUUUCUUCUGAUUUAAUUUCAACAUAGAAGACCCACCAGUGUACAUUUAACUGAUGUUGACUUUUGUUGAUUUGCUUGUGCCAUGUCUGAUUGUUUGCACCCCUGCCCCCCCCCCCCCCCACUUUGUAAUUCUUAUCUCUUUGCUUGUGUUCUUUUCUUGAUUGUUUUAGCGAU